GGACUACUGGGGUAUCUAAUCCUGUUUGAUCCCCUUGCUUUCGCGCCUCAGCGUCAGGAAUAAAAUAGAAAACCGCCUUCGCCACCGGUGUUCUUCCACAUAUCUACGCAUUUCACCGCUACUUGUGGAAUUCCAUUUUCUCCUUCUACCCUCUAGAGAGACAGUCUCAAAUGCAGCACCGAAGUUGAGCCCCGGUAUUUCACAUCUGACUUGAAUCCCCGCCUACGCGCCCUUUACGCCCAAUAAUUCCGAUUAAUGCUUGCACCCUCCGUAUUACCGCGGCUGCUGGCAC
rnacentral:rRNA from 1 species